GUUUACGGCCAUACCACCUUGAAUACGCCGAUCUUGGAAGCUAAGCAGGGUCGGGCUCGGUUAGUACUUGGAUGGGAGACCGCCUGGGAAUACCGAGUGCUGUAAGCU
rnacentral:rRNA from 1 species